CACGUAGGGUGCGAGCGUUGUCCGGAAUUAUUGGGCGUAAAGAGCUCGUAGGCGGUGUGUCGCGUCGGCCGUGAAAACCUGCAGCUUAACUGUGGGCUUGCGGUCGAUACGGGCAUCACUGGAGUUCGGCAGGGGAGACUGGAAUUCCUGGUGUAGCGGUGAAAUGCGCAGAUAUCAGGAGGAACACCGGUGGCGAAGGCGAGUCUCUGGGCUGAUACUGACGCUGAGGCGCGAAAGCCAGGGGAGCAAACGGG
rnacentral:rRNA from 1 species